UACGUAGGCAGCAAGCGUUGUUCGGAGUUACUGGGCGUAAAGAGUGUGUAGGCUGUUCUCUAAGUUUGGUGUGAAAUCUCCCGGCUUAACUGGGAGGGUGCGCCGAAAACUGGAGGGCUUGAGUGUGGGAGAGGAAAGCGGAAUUCCUGGUGUAGCGGUGAAAUGCGUAGAUAUCAGGAGGAACACCUGCGGUGUAGACGGCUUUCUGGACCACCACUGACGCUGAGACACGAAAGCGUGGGGAGCAAACAGG
rnacentral:rRNA from 1 species